GACGGGGGGGGCUAGUGUUAUUCGGAAUGACUAGGCGUAAAGGGCCCGUAGGCGGUGAAUCCGGUUGAAAGUGAAAGUCGCCAGCUCAACUGGUGGAAUGCUUUCAAAACCAAUUCACUUGAGUAAGAUAGAGGAUAGUGGAAUUUCGUGUGUAGAGAUAAAAUUCACAGAUACACGAAGGAACACCAAAAGCGAAGGGAGCUUUCUGGGUCUCUACUGACGCUGAGGUGCGAAAGCAUAGGGAGCAAACAGG
rnacentral:rRNA from 1 species